AGAUCAUAAAGUUUACAACUCUUAAACGCUCAGUUUGCAAAACUAGGGAAAUUCGCAUAUGAUAUGAUCUU
rnacentral:tRNA from 1 species